UCCACAGUUUUAACAGUUCGUACAGUCAGGAAGUUCUUCCUAAUGUUCAGGUGGAAUUGAAUCCACCUUUGAAUCCAAAUUGUUUUUAUUUUUAAAUAUUGUAUUGUUUUUUUAUUUACUAAUAUUGUGCUAUGUAAUAAUGUGUACCUAUAUACAUAUAAUAUUGAUAAUAAUAUUAUAAUGUAAUACAAUAUAAUACUAAUAAUAAUACAAUAUAAUAAUAUUAAUUAUAUAUUAAAUGUAAUAUUAUUAAUAUUACAGUAUAGUGGUAUAGUACAAUAUAGUAAUAUAUAAUGCUAAUAUUGUGCUAUGCUAAUAAUAUAAUAUAUUGUAUGUACAUACAACUUGUAAACUGCCCUGAGCCCCCUUCGGGAUGAGAGUGAGUGGGGUAUAAAUGUAGUAAACAAACAAACAAACAAAUAAUUGUUUUGGGGGUUUUUUUGCACUACAAAUAAGACAUGUGCAGUGUGCAUAGGAAUGUGUGCGUUUUUUUUCAAGUGAUAAUUCGGCCCCUCAACAAUCUGAGGAACCAUGAACCGGCCCUCCACUUAAAAACUUUGAGGACCCCUGGUCUAAGUUCUAGUUUCCAUGAGAGCCUUUCAAACAUAGCUCUCAUGUCCCCUCUCAACCUUCUCUUCUGCAAGCUAAACAGACCCAGCUCUUCAAGCAUGAUUGUGUUCUUUUGCUUUUUGCAUUUCGGACCACUAGGUGUUGCUGUUAGAAUACAAGCUUUUUGUAACAGGGAGGAAGAUGAAAUUUCUCUCACCAUCUUCUAGAAUCAUCAGAUUUCUUUUCCUCAAGAAGAGGAUUUAAUGCUCCUUUCAAAACUGUAUAGCGGUUCCAAGGCCACUUUUCCCAUUAAGCAGAAUGAAGUGAUCACUUCUGAGAGAUUAUCUGGGGUUGUUUAAUGUAUUACUGUGUUUUUAUUUUCUUGUGGUGGGGAUGGGCAGGUCACCAUUUGACCCUGUCUCAGCAGAAACAACAAAGAAUUAUAUGAACUUUCGUGACAUUUCAUAUUUGUGACACACUUUUUUAGAUAUUCAUCAUUUUGCAACACAGUAAUUCAGUUUCACUAGCAAAAUGAUAGUUAAACCAAUGCCUUAUAAGAGAUUUAGACACAUACGGAAAUUGUAGCAACAACAUUAUGGGAACACAAUAAUUAAUUUAUAAUUUUAAAUAUAUACAAUGUAUUACUUAUUUCAAAUAGACAGAGAGGUUUCCCGUUAUGUUCAUUCAACAGACUGUAGUUGACACACUAACCCAAAACCUUCCAAACUGUGCGUCACAAGACAUUAGUGUGUUGGGUGUUGGUGUGCCACACAAAUGUAAAGAGAAAUAACAAAAAUCUUGGAAAUGUAUGUUAUCUUUAAAAUCAUAUAUUUUAAAAUAUAUAAAUGAUUUUUUAUGAGAUAUGAUGUGUCCCCCUAUAUUUUGUUAUUACAAUUUGUGUAUGUGUCCCUAUCUAUAUAUAUAUAAAAGAGUGAUGGCAUCACGACAAUUCACAAAACAACAAAACUACAGGCCCCCCAACCUCUAAAUUUGACAACACAACCCAUCAUCCACGCCUCUAGGUUGAUACAACAAAAAGAAAAGAAAAAUAAAGUCCUAAUUAGAGAGAGAGGAAUAAUUGCUUUUAUCCAAUUGCUGCCAGUUAGAAGGCUAAGCUCCUCCAACUUGGUCUCCUAGCAACCCAAUAAAAAAUAAAAAACACUAAAAAAUAAUUAAAAACCCCCAAAAAUUAAUACAAUAAAAUACUAUAACAGAAAAUAACUAAAAAUACAAGAAAAUAAUAAAAUAUAAUAAAAAGAUAACUUACAAUAAAAUUUAUUUUAAAAAAUACAAAUAACGUCAAAUAAAAAUGACACAAUUUUUAACCAAUACCACCACCACUUUGCCACAGCAACGCGUGGCCAGGCACAGCUAGUGUUUUAUAAGGGGCUGGUUUAACACCUCUGGUUUCCUAGUAACACUUUUUUUUUUUUCGUGUCAGGAGCAACUUGAGUUGCUUCUGGAGUGAGAGAAUUGGCCGUCUGCAAGGACGUUGCCCAGGGGACGCCUGGAUGUUUUGAUGUUUUUACCAUCCUUGUGGGAGGCUUCUCUCAUGUCCCCGCAUGGAGCUGGAGCUGAAAGAGGGAGCUCAUCCGCACUCUCCCCGGGUGGGAUUCGAACCUGGCAGCUUUCAGGUCAGCAACCCAACCUUCAAGUCACUUAGUCCACUACGCCAUCUGGGGGCUGAAGUACUGUGUUGAGAAAUUACAAGUGCCUAAAAAGUGUCACCAACAUCAAAUGUUUGGAAAGCGCUGUGUUAACAUGUUGCAACACACAGUUUGGAGAGCUCUAGGUUAAUGAAUUCAGCUUCUCAUAUUGGAAAACAGGCUAUAGUCAAUAGUAGAGAGGGGACAUACACUUUUGGGGUUUUCUGACUUUUGAAGCAUUUUUUUUUGUCUAUUUCACUUGGGGAUAUGAGCUGAUAUUUGUUUCUCAGCUUCAGGCAGGAAAAUUUCUCAAGCUAGACUUUCAGUGGUCACCUUCCUCAGUACAGGUUGAGCUCCCCUAUCCAGAUUUUCAGAAUCCGAAAUACUCCAACACCUCAAACUCUUUGUCAUUAGUUGCCUAUUUCUCCCUUAGAGGAAAGAGGACUAGUCACACAUUUAGCACCCUGUUUUUUUCCUUAAGAAGCUGCAAAGCAUGUUUCUGGGAAUGUUGUGGACGGGAUUUGGGACAGGGAAGUUUAGUUUUAGAUGUAAUUUUAAUAGUAAUUUUAUUGUAUCUUAACUGUAUUUUAAUUUUGUAGUAAUCACACAAAUAUUUGUUUUUUUAUUUUUUGUAUUUGCUUUGUUUUUAAAUUUUAUUGAGUUUUAUCAUGUUAUUGUUAGCCCCUAUGGGGAGAAAGGCAGGAUAGAAAUAAAGAGAAGGCAAAGGAGGAGGACGACAACGACAACAGGGAGAAGAAGAGAAAGAAGGGAAAGACUCCACUUAUACAAGACCUUUGCAAAAAGCAGAUGUUACAGACGCUGUGCUCACCUUCUGCAAGGAAAUGCAGAGUGUUCCUUUUCACUACUACAAGUAUCCAGCUGAGAGAUACUGAAACAUACUCAUACUAAUCUCAGUUGGCAUCAAAUUGAGGUCAAAGUGCAGAGGUAAUUUGUACUCAGCUCAGAAUGUUGCCUUCUCCAGUGGGCUCUGAAAUGUAGGAAUCAUCCGUCGGCUGGACCAGACUCUUUGUCAUACUCUGUAUUGUCCAUUCCCAGUAUGGUGUUGGUUUUCAGGGGCCUCAAGAUAAGUAAGAAAAGUGCAGUCAUUGACCAGUUCUGUGAGAUAUCUGCUACUACUGCCUUGUUUUGGAUUCUCUCUUUGCAUAUGUUCCAGAUAUAGAGGCAAAGUGGGCUAACGUUUAACAUUCCCAAGGGAGAAAGGCAAACCUGGCUCUUUGCUUUCAAUUCAAAAUGAAGAUGAGAUGUAUAUCUGUAAUCAAUGGGGAGUUAAUUACAUUGAUGGUAUGCCUGCAGUGUAAAUAACACCUGCUGUCUCAGCUAGUGAAUACUAUGGAUAAUAACCACAACAAUAUCUUUAUACAGUCACAUAUUCCAAGUAGCAUGGGCAUAGUAUGGGCUCAACACACCUGAACCCCUCUCUCAGUCUCCAUCUCCCCUCUACUUACAUUGUGUCCUGUAAUACUUACUUGCACUGCAUAUGGAUACCCAACAGUCUCCUUUUCUUUCAAAGAAAGAGACAGACAGCUAUUCUAAUUCUAAUUAGACAGACAUUAUUUACUGGAGUAAAUAAUACUUUAACACACAAAGGCUCUUCCCAGAAGGUUGUUGACUUUGUGUAAUUUCUGUUAAAGUGGUCAGGUACCACUCAGAGGAGCAGGUGAUAGACAGAUAAGAUUAGAUUUUUAAAAGCCAAGAUCAAGUGGCCAUCUUCUGUUACUGGCUUCCAGACAGCUGAGAUACAGCUCAGAUACAAUGAUGAUGUGGACCCCGGAAAGGUUUACAACUGACAUUUGUCAUUGAGAAGCCACUGAAUAAACCAUCUUCUCCUUACAGGAUAGUGUACUACAGAUGCUGAAAUAUCAGCUAUCAUCUUUUGACUGUGUUUCCUGCUACACGUGAUCCCCAUCUCUCAAGAUCUGGUAACUUCCCACUAUUCACUAUCAUCUUCAUAUAUCUUGAGAAGAGUAAACAGAUCUACAUUGUAAUAGGAGUACAAAUAAUCUUAGUUCUUUGCUCAUGAAAAUAAAUUUCUGUUAUUCUUUAGGAAUAAAGAUAUACUUUUAUACACAA